GGGUAACGCGUGAGUAACCUGCCCUGGAGUGGGGGACAACAGUUGGAAACGACUGCUAAUACCGCAUAAGCCCACGGAUCCGCAUGGAUCUGCGGGAAAAGGAUUUAUUCGCUUCAGGAUGGACUCGCGUCCAAUUAGCUAGUUGGUGAGGUAACGGCCCACCAAGGCGACGAUUGGUAGCCGGACUGAGAGGUUGAACGGCCACAUUGGGACUGAGACACGGCCCAGACUCCUACGGGAGGCAGCAGUGGGGGAUAUUGCACAAUGGGGGAAACCCUGAUGCAGCGACGCCGCGUGGAGGAAGAAGGUUUUCGGAUUGUAAACUCCUGUCGUUAGGGACGAUAAUGACGGUACCUAACAAGAAAGCACCGGCUAACUACGUGCCAGCAGCCGCGGUAAAACGUAGGGUGCAAGCGUUGUCCGGAAUUACUGGGUGUAAAGGGAGCGCAGGCGGACCGGCAAGUUGGAAGUGAAAACUAUGGGCUCAACCCAUAAAUUGCUUUCAAAACUGCUGGCCUUGAGUAGUGCAGAGGUAGGUGGAAUUCCCGGUGUAGCGGUGGAAUGCGUAGAUAUCGGGAGGAACACCAGUGGCGAAGGCGACCUACUGGGCACCAACUGACGCUGA
rnacentral:rRNA from 1 species